rnacentral:rRNA from 1 species
AGAGUUUGAUCCUGGCUCAGGAUGAACGCUAGCGACAGGCUUAACACAUGCAAGUCGAGGGGCAGCGGGGGAGUGGCAACACUCCCGCCGGCGACCGGCGCACGGGUGAGUAACACGUAUGCAAUCUGCCCCGGGCAGGGGGAUAAUCGGAAGAAAUUCCGUCUAAUACCGCAUAACGCCUCCGGGGGGCAUCCCCCUGGGGCCAAAGGUGGCGACACCGGCCCGGGAUGAGCAUGCGGCGCAUUAGCCAGUUGGCGGGGCAACGGCCCACCAAGGCGACGAUGCGUAGGGGUUCUGAGAGGAAGGUCCCCCACACUGGUACUGAGACACGGACCAGACUCCUACGGGAGGCAGCAGUGAGGAAUAUUGGUCAAUGGGCGAGAGCCUGAACCAGCCAAGUCGCGUGAGGGAAGACGGUCCUAUGGAUUGUAAACCUCUUUAGCCGGGGAGCAAGGGGCGCCGCGUGCGGCGUCUCGGAGAGUACCCGGAGAAUAAGCAUCGGCUAACUCCGUGCCAGCAGCCGCGGUAAUACGGAGGAUGCGAGCGUUAUCCGGAUUUAUUGGGUUUAAAGGGUGCGUAGGCGGGUCUUCAAGUCAGCGGUAAAAUCGCGGCGCUCAACGCCGCCCCGCCGUUGAAACUGGAGGUCUUGAGUGAACGAGAAGUGAGCGGAAUGCGUGGUGUAGCGGUGAAAUGCUUAGAUAUCACGCAGAACUCCGAUUGCGAAGGCAGCUCACCGGCGUUCAACUGACGCUGAAGCACGAAAGCGUGGGGAUCAAACAGGAUUAGAUACCCUGGUAGUCCACGCCGUAAACGAUGAAUGCUAGCCGUGCGAGGCGAAUGUGUCUUGCGUGGCCGAGCGAAAGCGUUAAGCAUUCCACCUGGGGAGUACGCCGGCAACGGUGAAACUCAAAGGAAUUGACGGGGGCCCGCACAAGCGGAGGAACAUGUGGUUUAAUUCGAUGAUACGCGAGGAACCUUACCCGGGCUCAAACGGCGGAGGAGAGUUUUUGAAAGGAGGCUGCCAGCGAUGGCCUCCGCCGAGGUGCUGCAUGGUUGUCGUCAGCUCGUGCCGUGAGGUGUCGGCUUAAGUGCCAUAACGAGCGCAACCCCCACCGCCAGUUGCCAGCAGGUAAAGCUGGGGACUCUGGCGGGACUGCCGGCGCAAGCUGCGAGGAAGGCGGGGAUGACGUCAAAUCAGCACGGCCCUUACGUCCGGGGCGACACACGUGUUACAAUGGCGGGCACAGCGGGGCGCCACCCGGCGACGGGGCGCCGAACCCGAAAGCCCGCCUCAGUUCGGAUCGGAGUCUGCAACCCGACUCCGUGAAGCUGGAUUCGCUAGUAAUCGCGCAUCAGCCAUGGCGCGGUGAAUACGUUCCCGGGCCUUGUACUCACCGCCCGUCA